GUUUACAUGAUGAAAAUCAUGUUAACUACUGAAUGUUUACAAACAUCUAUAAAACACAAUAUGCAUGACUGGG
rnacentral:snoRNA from 1 species